rnacentral:rRNA from 1 species
GACGAACGCUGGCGGCGUGCUUAACACAUGCAAGUCGAACGGAAAGGCCUGCUUUCCCUUGUGGAUUGCGGGUACUCGAGUGGCGAACGGGUGAGUAACACGUGAGUGAUCUGCCCCCAACUUGGGUAUAAGCCUGGGAAACUGGGUCUAAUUCCCGAUAGGACUGCAGGGUGGUGCCUGUGGUGGAAAACGAUUUUCUAGUUGUUGGGGAUGAGCUCGCGGCCUAUCAGCUUGUUGGUGGGGUAAUGGCCUACCAAGGCGGCGACGGGUAGCCGGCCUGGGAGGGGGGACGGCCAAAUUGGGACUGAGAUACGGCCCAGACGCCUACGGGAGGAAGCAGUGGGGAAGAAUGGACAAUGGGCGGAAGCCUGAUGCAGCGACGCCGCGUGGGGGAUGACGGCCUUCGGGUUGUAAACUCCUUUCGACCGCGAGGAAGCCACCUGGUUGGAAGGGUGGUGACGGUAGUGGUAGAAGAAGCACCGGCUAACUACGUG